rnacentral:rRNA from 1 species
UGGGGAAUAUUGGACAAUGGGCGCAAGCCUGAUCCAGCCAUGCCGCGUGAGUGACGAAGGUCUUCGGAUUGUAAAACUCUUUUGGCGGGCACGAUAAUGACGGUACCCGCAGAAUAAGCCCCGGCUAACUUCGUGCCAGCAGCCGCGGUAAUACGAAGGGGGCUAGCGUUGUUCGGAAUCACUGGGCGUAAAGCGCACGUAGGCGGAUGUGCCAGUCAGGGGUGAAAUCCCGGAGCUCAACUCCGGAACUGCCUCUGAUACUGCACGUCUUGAGUUCGAGAGAGGUGGGUGGAAUUCCUAGUGUAGAGGUGAAAUUCGUAGAUAUUAGGAAGAACACCGGUGGCGAAGGCGGCCCACUGGCUCGAUACUGACGCUGAGGUGCGAAAGCGUGGGGAGCAAACAGGAUUAGAUACCCCAGUAGUCCCUGAGCGGGCUGGCAAGGCGCAU